CUGAGGUGUCAGCGCCGCGGUUCUUCACUUGGAGCUCUGGUCUGAAGGGCCAGGUGUGAGGCCUCUGCCCCAGACGCCCAGUGAGCAAGUGAAAUUAGAUGAAGCACAAAGGAAAAGAAAAAAGAAAAACAAGGUAUUCAGCUGCUUUUUAGUCUAACUCCGCGAGUACCAGGAACGAAGGAAUACGGGGAUUCAAGCUUAAGGAUGGUUUCCUGCAGUUCCUCUUAUGAAUUAUUAAAACACACGGAUGGAGAACUGAGGUCAAGUAGAGUCAACAGUGAAAGUCUUCUGGAAAGGUGUUUAGACUCCCCAACAACAUGGAACAUUUGAGGAGCUUGCAGUGAAAAGAUUUCCCUGAAUGUACAGUGGGCACACAGGCCAAGACAGCUCUGUUCAGAGGAGAUGAUGUUGGGCUUCACAGCCUGCUCCUUCUGUGAUGCUUCUGAGUUUGAAGAACUAGGUCUUGGAAGCCCUAGACCUGGAUCAUAAUUUUCUAAGAAAAGCAAAUCCUUCUAAAGUAGUUAGUUCAGAAUUUUUAUCUCGAUUAGUCUAAUAUGUAGGGAAAUAGCUGGAACAGGAUAAGUUUAUGAAGACAAGACUGGCACUACACAUUUUCUAAGGCGAGAACAACCCACUAAAGUGGGAAAGGUAUGGCCAAUCUGACUUGAUAUUUAAAUAGAAUUGGCAAUUAGCUAAUGUGAGAGAAUAGCUCUUACAGAGCUCUUCCCCCACAUCUUCCAGCCCACGAGUUCUAUGUCUGAAAAGCCCACUUGUUCUGAGAGGAUGUUUAGCCUAAUGGUUCAGCUUUUAAAGCCAGACUGCCUGGGGCUAGGCCAUGACCUUGGGACAACUACUUAACAUCUCUGCCUCAGUUUCCUCACCUGUGAAAUUGUAUAAACUAGUACUUAUAGUAUUGUUAUGCGUGUUCAGUGAGUUAAUAUAUUUAUAAAGGCUUAGACCAGUGAGCGACUUAGCAGCAAACCAGCAAUUGGCAUGCAAGGAGUGUCCAAGUAUCGAUAUUGUAGGAAUGUUGUUUAAUAUCCAAAUAAAGCAAGGAAAUGUAAGAACACAAAGUCAUUGUUGGUCAUUUAGAUCUCAGCAUGAAUUAAUUCCCUUGUCUGUUCUGAGGUACUCUGAGAAUCCUGGGGACCUUGGGAAGCUAGAAGUGAGAAGUCAGAAGAACUGCUGUACAUAAGUGAAGGGGUGAAACAAACGCUUACCUGAGUCAAGGCUUUGCUUUUGAGCCAGCUUACCUAUUAUUCUGUCCAUUUGAACUUCCUUUUACACUGUGAUUGUAGAUUGUGAAUUCAUUGGCUCCUCAUUAUUCAACCAACCCUGGCUUUUCUGAUGAUGGUUCUUUGAGACUCUCUUCCUUGUCUAGGUGGGAAUUAAGAGAUGCUUUUAGCAUCUCUUCUUAUAUCUUUUGUCUUAACAU